UACAGAGGUCUCAAGCGUUGUUCGGAUUCAUUGGGCGUAAAGGGUGUGUAGGUGGCGCCGUAAGUCGGGUGUGAAAUUUCGGAGCUUAACUCCGAAACUGCAUUCGAUACUGCGGUGCUUGAGGACUGGAGAGGAGACUGGAAUUUACGGUGUAGCAGUGAAAUGCGUAGAUAUCGUAAGGAAGACCAGUGGCGAAGGCGGGUCUCUGGACAGUUCCUGACACUGAGACACGGAGGCCAGGGGAGCAAACGGG
rnacentral:rRNA from 1 species